rnacentral:lncRNA from 1 species
UCCUGCUGCAUUGCUGUUGACAUGGAAACCAAUACCACUUUCUGUUGCAGAGAAUUGGAAGCUAAAGCUACCAAAGAAGCCGAAAGAAAACUAAGCAGGGAUUUAGUGCAAGAAGAGGAAGAACAGUUGAUGGAAGAAAGGAAAAAGAGAAAAGAAGACAAGAAGAAGAAGGAAGCUGCUCAAAAAAAGGUAUGUGGAGCACUGAGAAUAAACCCCUGUGCUUGGAGGUGACUUGUUUCAUCACUAGUAAAAACAA